rnacentral:rRNA from 1 species
AGAGUUUGAUCCUGGCUCAGAACGAACGCUGGCGGCAUGCCUAACACAUGCAAGUCGAACGAGAUCUUCGGGUCUAGUGGCGCACGGGUGCGUAACGCGUGGGAAUCUGCCCUUUGGUUCGGAAUAACAGUUGGAAACGACUGCUAAUACCGGAUGAUGACGAAAGUCCAAAGAUUUAUCGCCAGAGGAUGAGCCCGCGUAGGAUUAGCUAGUUGGUGUGGUAAAGGCGCAUCAAGGCGACGAUCCUUAGCUGGUCUGAGAGGAUGAUCAGCCACACUGGGACUGAGACACGGCCCAGACUCCUACGGGAGGCAGCAGUGGGGAAUAUUGGACAAUGGGCGAAAGCCUGAUCCAGCAAUGCCGCGUGAGUGAUGAAGGCCUUAGGGUUGUAGAGCUCUUUUACCCGGGAUGAUAAUGACAGUACCGGGAGAAUAAGCUCCGGCUAACUCCGUGCCAGCAGCCGCGGUAAUACGGAGGGAGCUAGCGUUGUUCGGAA